rnacentral:rRNA from 1 species
GAUGAACGCUGGCGGCGUGCUUAAUACAUGCAAGUAGAACGCUGAAGGAGGAGCUUGCUCUUCUGGUUGAGUGGCGAACGGGUGAGUAACGCGUAGGUAACCUGCCCGGUAGCGUGGGAUAACUAUUGGAAACGAUAGCUAAUACCGCAUGACAACAGCUAUUGCAUGAUAACUGUUUAAAAGGGGCAACUGCUCCAGUACCAGAUGGACCUGCGUUGUAUUAGCUAGUUGGUGAGGUAACGGCUCACCAAGGCGGGGAUACAUAGCCGACCGGCGAGGGGGGUCGGCCACACUGGGAGUGUGACACGGCCCAGACUCCUACAGGAGGGGGCAGUAGGGAAUCGUGGGCAAUCGGCGGAAGACUGUGCGAGCUGCGCCGAGUGCGUAAAGAGCGUUGUCGGAUCGGAGAGCCCGGUUGUAAGGGUAGAACGAGUGUGCGCGUGGAAAGUUCACUCUGUGACGGUAACUUAUCAGAAAGCAACGGCUAACUACGUG